UACGGGAGGCAGCAGUGGGGAAUAUUGCACAAUGGGCGCAAGCCUGAUGCAGCCAUGCCGCGUGUAUGAAAAAGGCCUUCGGGUUGUAAAGUACUUUCAGUCGUGAGGAAGGUGUUAAGGUUAAUAACCUUAGCAAUUGACGUUAGCGACAGAAGAAGCACCGGCUAACUCCGUGCCAGCAGCCGCGGUAAUACGGAGGGUGCGAGCGUUAAUCGGAAUUACUGGGCGUAAAGGGCACGCAGGCGGUUAAUUAAGUUGGAUGUGAAAUCCCCGGGCUUAACCUGGGAAUGGCAUUCAAGACUGGUUAGCUAGAGUCUUGUAGAGGGGGUAGAAUUCCAUGUGUAGCGGUGAAAUGCGUAGAGAUGUGGAGGAAUACCGGUGGCGAAGGCGGCCCCUGGCAAAGACUGACGCUCAUGUGCGAAAGCGUGGGGAGCGAAACAGGGAUUAGAUACC
rnacentral:rRNA from 1 species